AACGAACGCUGGCGGCAGGCCUAACACAUGCAAGUCGAGCGAGGACUUCGGUUCUAGCGGCGGACGGGGGGGUAACGCGUGGGAAUGUGCCCUUCUCUACGGAAUAGCCCUGGGAAACUGGGAGUAAUACCGUAUACGCCCUUUUGGGGAAAGAUUUAUCGGAGCAGGGUCAGCCCGCGUUGGAUUAGGUAGUUGGUGGGGUAAUGGCCUACCAAGCCGACGAUCCAUAGCUGGUUGGAGAGGAUGAUCAGCCACACUGGGAAUGAGACACGGCCCAGACUCCUACGGGAGGCAGCAGUGGGGAAUCUUAGACAAUGGGGGCAACCCUGAUCUAGCCAUGCCGCGUGAGUGAUGAAGGCCUUAGGGUUGUAAAGCUCUUUCAGCUGGGAAGAUAAUGACGGUACCAGCAGAAGAAGCCCCGGCUAACUCCGUG
rnacentral:rRNA from 1 species